AUUGAACGCUGGCGGCAUGAUUUACACAUGCAAGUCGAACGGUAACAGGCCGCACGGUGCUGACGAGUGGCGCACGGGUGCGUAAUGCAACGGAACGUGCCCAGUCGUGGGGGAUAACUACUCGCAAGAGUAGCUAAUACCGCAUACGACCUAUGGAUGAAAGCGGGGGACCGUAAGGCCUCGCGCGAUUGGUGCGGCCGAUGUCAGAUUAGGUAGUUGGUGGGGUAAAGGCUCACCAAGCCAACGAUCUCUAGCUGGUCUGAGAGGACGACCAGCCACACUGGGACUGAGACACGGCCCAGACUCCUACGGGAGGCAGCAGUGGGGAAUUUUGGACAAUGGGCGCAAGCCUGAUCCAGCAAUGCCGCGUGCAGGAAGAAGGCCUUCGGGUUGUAAACUGCUUUUGUACGGAACGAAACGGCUCUGGUUAAUACCCGGGGCUAAUGACGGUACCGUAAGAAUAAGCACCGGCUAACUACGUG
rnacentral:rRNA from 1 species